rnacentral:rRNA from 1 species
UCAGGCCUAACACAUGCAAGUCGAACGGGCGUAGCAAUACGUCAGUGGCAGACGGGUGAGUAACACGUGGGAACCUUCCUAGAGGUACGGAACAACUCAGGGAAACUUGAGCUAAUACCGUAUAAGCUCUUGCGAGGAAAGAUUUAUCGCCUUUAGACGGGCCCGCGUAGGAUUAGCUAGUUGGUGGGGUAACGGCCUACCAAGGCGACGAUCCUUAGCUGAUCUGAGAGGAUGAUCAGCCACACUGGGACUGAGACACGGCCCAGACUCCUACGGGAGGCAGCAGUGGGGAAUCUUGGACGAUGGGCGCAAGCCUGAUCCAGCCAUGCCGCGUGAGUGAAGAAGGCCUUAGGGUUGUAAAGCUCUUUUACAGGGAAG